CCACUCAGCCAAACAAACAACUAUCUACUUCCGGUUUAAUACCAACCCAUCACAGAACAUCACCAUGUCUCCCUGCACCUGCAACUGCUGCUCUGGCGAGUGCAACUCCUGCGCUUGCAGCAGCUGCACCGUACGUUGCCCAUUCCU
rnacentral:sRNA from 1 species